CCAAAACCAGCUGGCAGGUGGGAGGCUGAGAGGAAAAAGACAUUGGGCCUCAGAAGGAGAGCAGAGGCAUGGCAAAGAAGAUCUUCUAUGUUGCCAUUGUGUGCACGGCCCAGGGCCUCCUAGGAUCUGCUGUCCCUAGAGACUGACUGAACCCAGGGUGCUCUCAUCUGCAGCUGAGCAAAGGAGCUCCUGGCAGAAGACAGCCUGGAAUGGCCCAGGACGUGGCCUAAAGUGAAUGCCUCAAAGACCUGUGGGGAGGUUGCCAGCUGCAGGGGCCAGAAGAUAAGAGUGUUAAUUUAGCUUGGCUGACAUCCAGGAA
rnacentral:lncRNA from 1 species